UACGGGGGGGGCAAGCGUUGUUCGGAAUUACUGGGCGUAAAGGGCUCGUAGGCGGCCAACUAAGUCGGACGUGAAAUCCCUCGGCUUAACCGGGGAACUGCGUCCGAUACUGGAUGGCUUGAGUUCGGGAGAGGGAUGCAGAAUUCCAGGUGUAGCGGUGAAAUGCGUAGAUAUCUGGUGGAACACCGGUGGCGAAGGCGGCAUCCUGGACCGACACUGACGCUGAGGAGCGAAAGCCAGGGGAGCAAACGGG
rnacentral:rRNA from 1 species